AGUGAACGCUGGCGGCGUGCUUAACACAUGCAAGUCGAACGAGAACGGAAUAUAGCUUUCUAUAUUUGUCAGCUAAGUGGCGCACGGGUGAGUAAUGUAUAGAUAACCUGCCCUUAAGAAAGGAAUAACAGUUGGAAACGACUGCUAAUGCCCUAUAUGCCUUUAAUACAUAAGUAUGCAAGGGAAACGCUUUAGUGCUUAAGGAUGGGUCUGUAUGGUAUCAGCUUGUUGGUGAGGUAAUGGCUCACCAAGGCUAUGACGCCUAACUGGUUUGAGAGGAUGAUCGGUCACACUGGAACUGAGACACGGUCCAGACUCCUACGGGAGGCAGCAGUGGGGAAUAUUGCACAAUGGACGAAAGUCUGAUGCAGCAACGCCGCGUGGAGGAUGACACAUUUCGGUGCGUAAACUCCUUUUAUAUAGGAAGAUAAUGACGGUACUAUAUGAAUAAGCACCGGCUAACUCCGUGCCAGCAGCCGCCGUAAUAC
rnacentral:rRNA from 1 species